rnacentral:rRNA from 1 species
GACGAACCGUCCAAACGUUGUUCGGAAUUACUGGGCGUAAAGCGCGCGUAGGCGGCUUUGUAAGUUAGAGGUGAAAGCCCGGAGCUUAACUCCGGAAUUGCCUUUAAGACUGCAUCGCUUGAAUCAUGGAGAGGUGAGUGGAAUUCCGAGUGUAGAGGUGAAAUUCGUAGAUAUUCGGAAGAACACCAGUGGCGAAGGCGACUCACUGGACAUGUAUUGACGCUGAGGUGCGAAAGCGUGGGGAGCAAACGGGG